UUAAGUUACAGAUAGUAAUAACUAUACUGAGUACAUGAGAGGAAUCGAUUAUAGUAAUUAAGCGUAAUCUAAGUACGCCGACCUCUAUGGGCCACCCGGAAGGGUGGUUUUUUUACUAU
rnacentral:sRNA from 21 species